CGGGUGAGUAACGCGUGGAUAAUCUGCCCGAGGAUUUGGGAUAACAUCUCGAAAGGGGUGCUAAUACCGAAUAAGCCCACGGGGUCUACGGAUCUUGCGGGAAAAGGGGGGGACUUUCGGGCCUCCUGUCUUCGGAUGAGUCCGCGUACCAUUAGCUAGUUGGUGGGGUAAUGGCCUACCAAGGCGACGACGGGUAGCCGGCCUGAGAGGGCGACCGGCCACACUGGAACUGAGAGACGGUCCAGACUCCUACGGGAGGCAGCAGUGGGGAAUAUUGGGCAAUGGGGGCAACCCUGACCCAGCGACGCCGCGUGAGGGAAGAAGGCCUUCGGGUCGUAAACUUCUUUUGUACGUGAAGAAGCAGAUGACGGUAGCGUACGAAUAAGUCCCGGCUAACUACGUGCCAGCAGCCGCGGUAAUACGUAGGGGACGAGCGUUGUCCGGAAUUACUGGGCGUAAAGGGCGCGCAGGCUGCGCGUCGAGUCGGCUGUUAAAGAUCCGGGCUUAACCCGGUGAAGCGGUCGAGACCGACGAGCUGGAGUGCUGCAGAGGCAAGUGGAAUUCCCGGUGUAGCGGUGAAAUGCGUAGAUAUCGGGAAGAACACCGGUGGCGAAGGCGACUUGCUGGGCAGCAACUGACGCUGAGGCGCGAAAGCCAGGGGAGCAAACGGGAUUAGAUACCCUGGUAGUCCACGCCGUAAACGAUGAGUACUAGGUGUUGCG
rnacentral:rRNA from 1 species